rnacentral:rRNA from 1 species
ACGCACGCUGGCGGCGUGCUUAACACAUGCAAGUCGCACGGAAAGGCCCUGCUUUUGUGGGGUGCUCGAGUGGCGAACGGGUGAGUAACACGUGAGUAACCUGCCCUUGACUUUGGGAUAACUUCAGGAAACUGGGGCUAAUACCGGAUAGGAGCUCCUGCUGCAUGGUGGGGGUUGGAAAGUUUCGGCGGUUGGGGAUGGACUCGCGGCUUAUCAGCUUGUUGGUGGGGUAGUGGCUUACCAAGGCCUUGACGGGUAGCCGGCCUGAGAGGGUGACCGGCCACAUUGGGACUGAGAUACGGCCCAGACUCCUACGGGAGGCAGCAGUGGGGAAUAUUGCACAAUGGGCGGAAGCCUGAUGCAGCAACGCCGCGUGCGGGAUGACGGCCUUCGGGUUGUAAACCGCUUUCGCCUGUGACGAAGCGUGAGUGACGGUAAUGGGUAAAGAAGCACCGGCUAACUACGUG